GGCCCGGUGGCGAAUGGUCUGCACCCGCAUGAAAUAGAGACUUCAGAAAGAGAGUUUCAGCGGGAGGUGCUCGUUCGACUCGAGCCCGGGCCA